GCCGGCAUAGCUCAGUUGGCAGAGCAGCUGAUUUGUAAUCAGAAGGUCGCGGGUUCGAUUCCUGCUGCCGGCA
rnacentral:tRNA from 1 species